rnacentral:tRNA from 1 species
GUCCCUGUAGCUCAACGGAUAGAGCGACUGCCUUCUAAGCAGUAGGUUCCGAGUUCGAGUCUCGGCAGGGACGCCA